AACGCACCUUGCACCCUUUGGUAUUCCGAAGGGUACACCCGUUUGAGUGUCAUUGUAAUCUCACUACAACCACUUUAUUGUUGUUUGUAUGUGGACCUGGAUGUUGCCGUGUAACAAACGGCUCGUCUGAAAUGCCUGAGUGUACCCUGCUUUGCGGCGUAUUCGGUGUGAUAAAUCUUCACCGGAGUUGACUUUCGGGUCGCGUCUGCUUAACAUGGCUCUAUGCUUCCAACCGUCCUAACAAGACAACCUUUGACAAUUUGACCUCAAAUCGGGUGGGACUACCCGCUGAACUUAA
rnacentral:misc_RNA from 1 species